UAAUAGCAGUAGCUCCCCUGGCUGUGAUUGCAGGUCCACAAUUGCUCCUGAGUAGGAAGAAUGAUGAAGACGUCCAUUGGAGCUUUGUUCAUGUUCUUGUGGCUGCAGCUGGACCGGGUCAGCCACGGAGAGAAAGUGGAUCAGCAUCCUUCUACCUUGAAUAUCCAGGAGGGAAACACUGCUGUUAUCAACUGUUCUUAUUCCAACAGUGGCUCUAUCUACUUUCCUUGGUAUAAGCAAGAACCUGGAAAAGGUCCCCAGUUCAUUAUAGACAUUCGUUCAAAUAAGGACAAAAACCAAGCUGAAAGACUCACUGUUUUCUUGAAUAAGGCGGCCAAACAUCUCUCCCUGCACAUCACAGCCACCCAACCUGGAGACUCAGCUGUCUACUUCUGUGCAGCGAGUACACAUUGCUUCCCAGGCACCUGCAUCCUGUACACAAACCUGCGAGGGGGCAGCCCCCUCUGCCUGGGACAGACCUGCAUUUGUCUUAUUGCUUAUUUGCAAGUGGAAAAUAGUGUGUUGGUAUAAAAACACUUAAUAAGAGGUCAGUUUCAAGAUGACCCAGAAAGGGUUAUAACAUAUGGUUGGAUGUUUGUUGCUUAAUGGAUUCU